GGAGGAGGCAGGUAGCUGGGUCCAGGGGCAGGCAGAAGGUCAUACACAGGAAGAGGCAGGUAGCUGGGUCCAGGGGCAGGCAGAAGGUCAUACACAGGAGGAGGCAGGUAGCUGGGUCCAGGGGCAGGCAGAAGGUCAUACACAGGAGGAGGCAGGUAGCUGGGUCCAGGGGCAGGCAGAAGGUCAUACACAGGAGGAGGCAGGUAGCUGGGUCCAGGGGCAGGCAGAAGGUCAUACACAGGAGGAGGCAGGUAGCUGGGUCCAGGGGCAGGCAGAAGGUCAUACACAGGAGGAGGCAGGUAGCUGGGUCCAGGGGCAGGCAGAAGGUCAUACACAGGAGGAGGCAGGUAUCUGGGUCCAGGGGCAGGCAGAAGGUCAUACACAGGAGGAGGCAGGUAGCUGGGUCCAGGGGCAGGCAGAAGGUCAUACACAGGAGGAGGCAGGUAGCUGGGUCCAGGGGCAGGCAGAAGGUCAUACACAGGAGGAGGCAGGUAGCUGGGUCCAGGGGCAGGCAGAAGGUCAUACACAGGAGGAGGCAGGUAGCUGGGUCCAGGGACAGGUAGAAGGUCAUACACAGGAGGAGGCAGGU